rnacentral:lncRNA from 1 species
AGCAAGGACCACGCCUCUGCUGGGAGCCUGGUGUGCUAGCAGACACUCCGCAGUACCUCCUGCCUGUGAGCCCGUGCUGCACAGUCCCUGGGGCUUGGUCAGAUGUCCUGUGCCACCUAGACCCUCCUCCGUACACAGGAGUGAUUCGACAAAACACAAUAAAAAAGAGAGUCCAACGCCAGGUUGCUACGGGCCUGACGGGUGACCAACAGAAACUCGAUGGCUUCCGGUGCACGUGCGGGUGGAGAAAGAUUCAGCUUCCCUUGGAGGGACGGCCACUAGGAAGCUGGCCAUGCUCCAGUUUUAUAGCAGCCAGUGGUAGCAGGAAGCACACAGAAGCAAAGACACCCAACCCAAGAGCCUCUCUCUACUUUACGAUCUCUCUUUUCUUUUUCUUUUGAGACAGCAUCUCAAGUAUCCCAGGCUGGCCUCACACUCUCUGUGUAGCUGAGAAUAAACCUGAACUUCUGGUCCUCUUGCCCUACCUUCCAAGUGCUGGGAUUACAGGUUUGAGCUAUUAUUCAGGUUUCUAUAGUAUGGGGAAUUGAAUCCAGAGUCUCAUGCAUGCUAGGCAAGCACUGUACCAACUGAGCUACAAACAAAGCCCUCUGUCUCAAUUUUUUUGUGCAAAAGAGAUGUAAGAAACUGAGUUUGAAGACAGAUGUAUCUGCUAGAGGUCUUGUGAGAGCUACAUUGUUGCUGUGGUAUGAGUGUUUGUGUCCCUUCAAAACUCCUCAUAUGAGGUAAAUUUGCAUAAUACCAUUGAAAGGGUAAGGGAACCUAAUUAGUGGAUUGUUUGUCCUAGAUUCAGCCUCAACUACAUACUAAGUUCAAGCACCAGUCAAAAGCAAGAAAGCAGUGGGCUCUUUGGGCAGCUUGGGAUUGGCGUCUUUGCUUGCUUGAAUAUGAAAUGGCAACCUUUGCUGGUGGUGUUAUUUUGGAAGGUUCUGGAAACUUUAGGAUUGGGGACUAGUUGAAGGAAGCUGGUCGUUCAGACUGGACCUUUGGAGGUUCAUACUUGGUUUUUGGUGUCUUCCUUUCUACUUUUGGUUCUGGAGAAGGUGUAGCCUCUGGAACCCAGAGCGGCCAAUGUCUUUUGCUUGCAGCAGCUAGUUUAUGAUACUUUGUAUCUGGAAUAGACUGAGACUCGGGCUAAACCAGGGAGAUUUUCCUGCCCUCUCCCCCAACACUGGGCCUCAUUUAAAGGACACUAAUCCCAUCUCUCAGUGGAGAUGCCAGGCUAAUGGCUCUUUACUUUAAUAAGUUCUUUCAAUGUUGUUUCUCAACAAAGUCACCAGGGCUUGGAAAGGGAGUUUGACAGUACAGUUCUGGCCAGAGUUGGAACAUGUAUGCCACAUAGACCCAGAGCUUCACAUCAGAUUCUAGCCAGUUCAAAAGUGAUGACCCAGAAUAAGUUAGCACCUUAACAUGCCUUCUAGACUCUGCCCAACAGUUACCCAGCAACAGCCAGGUAAACCUUGCUUACUCUAAAAAGGACUGUUUGGUCUCUCCCUUGCCCUCUCUCUCUGACUCUCUUCUCUCUCUGACCCUGUUCUCCCUCUCUCCCUUCCCCUCACCCCCUCUCCACAUUCCCAUUCCCAGACAGCCUCUUCCCUUCUUUUAUUCUCUUUUUCUCUUUCUCUGUCCUUCUCUAUCCUCUCUCUUUCUCUGCCUCCACCCCCUUUACAACUCCCCUUCCCUACCCCUAAAUAAACUCUAUUUUAUAUU